UCUCUCCCUCCUGCCUCUCUCUCCUUCCUCUCUCUGUCCCCCCACCCCUUUCUGGCAUAAAUCCACUUUGAGAAAAUGGCUUCCCUGUGGACCUCCACCCCUUUCGUUUCUGCCCUGUGGCUCACAGCCUCCCUUCAGAGCUAAGCUCCUUGAAGGAGUUCUGGGCACUCCCUAUGUACACUUCCUGAUGGUGGCUGUCCAAUCCAACCCACAAGAAUCUGACUCACUUGAAGCUUCUUCAAACAGCCCCAGCCCACCACUCCACUGAAACUGCUCUCCUAAGCCUUAAUCCAGGCUUUCACGGUGAUUGCAUGGAUUGCUGACAUCACCCCUUGCCUGCCUCCACCUCAUCAUUCAUGAUAAAAGAGGGAUGCUCUUCAUAAAAUGCAGAUUAGACAAGGUUACGUCCUUGUCCAAUGUCUCGGUGGCUUGCUGUGGAUGGCAGAAGCUUGGCAUUCUUUGCAUUUCAUGCCAGUCUCUCCCAGCCUGGCUAUGAUGUCCCUCUCUAGACACAUCUCCACGGAGCCCCAUGGUUAUGCCACACUGCAGCUAGUGUCUCCAAGUGCUGGUCUGAGGAGAUUUUUCUCAAGAUAUUGGAAAGUCUGGCUAAAUGAAUGUGGAUUUAAAUCAAACUCCACACACACUGAGAACGUCUGAGAAGGAGCCAAGUGGGUAAAGUUUGAGGACCAAGCUAACACUUCAGUGAAUUCAACUGGGAAAACACACGGAAGGCAUUUGGAACACAACUUCUAGAAUAUAUCCAGCUGUCUUUUGCCCCUUCCCUUCUGCCUGAGAUGCCAAUCGCUUGUGAGUUACAAAAAUAACUGUUCUACAUGUACAGGGGAUACAGAAAAAAAACCUGUUAUAUGCUUGGCAUAUAGUAGGAAUAGAGGCUCUGGUGAGCCAAACAUAUAAACACAUGAUCACAGUGUGUCAAAAUGAAGGGUGUCUUGGCAGCAUAGGGCGGAGGGCUGAGUUAUGUGGCCAGGGGACAGUAACUCUGCCUUC
rnacentral:lncRNA from 1 species